CCAGAAAUAACUAGGAAAGUCCAAAAACACGUGUCUUUAAGAGUUGUCAGAGUCACAAACUGCAUAAUGCUGCAGAGGAAAAUAAUUACCAACAUGUAUAUGGAUGUUGUGGUUUAACCCCAGCCAACAACAAGUCCCACGCAGCUGCUCAAUCUUUCUCUCACAGUGGAAUGGGAAAGAGAAUUGGAUGGGUAAAAGUGAGAAAACUCAUGGGUUGAGAUAAAGACAGUUUACUAGGUAAAGCAAAAGUCUCACACACAAGCAAAGAAAACCAAGGAAUCCAUUUACCAGUUCCCAUGGACAGGCAGAUGUUCAGUCAUCCGUAGGAAAUCAAGGCUUCAGCACGUGUAUUUGGGAAGUACAAAUGCCAUCACUCAAAAUGUGCCCCCCUUUCUUGUUCUUCCCCCUGCUUUAAAUACUGAGGAUGGCACUGUAUAAUCUAGAAAAUCCCUUUGGUCAGUUGGGGUCAGUUGCUCCCGCUGUAUCCUUUCCCAACACCUUGUGCACCUCCAGCCUCCUCACAGAAGGUAUCUUGAGUAAGGGCUGCUCAGCAAUAACAAAACCAGCUCUGCUGUAUUAUCAACCCUGCUUCCAGCACAAAUCCAAAACACAGCCCCAUACCAGCCACUGCAAAGAAAAUUAAUUCUACCCCACCCAAACCCAGGACAGUGGUUGAGGGGGUAAUUGGCAAUUUGUUCUACUGAAUGUGUAAUAUACAGUAUAACUUUUCCUUUUCUACUCUUCUACCGUGUAGUAUAUUUAAUUUAUUUUUUUGUACAUAGAAAAUAGGCAAGUUCAUAUUAAAAACUGAGACAAAGACAAAACUUAUUGAGUUUUAAGGUACACAUUUUUGUGUCCUAACCAUCACCACUGUACAGAAGAAGAAAGGCCCAACUGAGAAAUUGAAGAACUACACAGAAAAUAUGAACUACUCCUCUUUCAAUGUUCCUUCCAAGUUAGCUUGUUCAUUCUUCCAGAUCUUAGGCAAUAUAAUCAGAGGAAUAAAGCAGUUUAAAGAGUUCAGUGUUUGAUCAUCUAUUUGAAAAAAGCUUAAACAUGUUUUCAGGCUGGUUGUAUCAACUUUUUGUUUAGGGUUGGUUUGUUUGUUUGUUUGGGUUUUUAAUAAGUUGUCUAUUACAGAUGGGCCCAGAUCCAAAUGACACCACUUCUGCUCCAUCCUGAAUUGUGUGUAUCAGGUUGCAGAUACCAAUCUGAAUGUCAUAAGCUAGAGCAGGGUGGAGUGGAGCUUGUCUUAAGAUAUGAUUCCCUCAUUCUUUCAACUUGGAAUUGUCAUGAUUUUGACAGGUACAAGCUAAUUAUUUUUUGCAUAGUCCUUAAAUAAACUGGAAACUGUAGACUGUCCUGUUAGAAGGAGCAACUGUCCUUUUAUGUCGCUGAAACUGUAAGAUGGCCUGUGGCUUUCUAAAUUUGAGUUUCUUUUGUUGCUGGUGUUAUUCACUGGGAAAGAAUGUGGCUCUGUUUCCAGUGAGAGAGGGUAUGAAAUGUUAAAAAAUAGAAGUGAUAGGUGGAUUUUAAAGGGACUAAAAAACCCCAAAGAGGUCAAAAUUUACAGGAAAGCAAAAGAAGGCCUUCCCCAUUCAGCAACAACCAGCUACCUGUUCAUUUCCUAGCUAAAGAAUUAGAUUCUAUCAUGUGACAGUUACAAAGAGGCACAUAAUAAACAAAGAAUUUUCUUUAAAAAUGGUCGUCUACACAGCUGUUUCUAAAUGCACAUCACUGACUUGCUGCUCCCUUCCCCCUCUCCUUGGCUUCAAGUUUCAGGAUAAGACAUCUGGCAUACAAGUUAUUCAAGUUCAGAAACUAGUUACUGAAAUCCACUUAAUAACUGCUAGUGGGUUUAGACCAUAACAAGUUCCCUAAUUUAUUUUUACAAGCAGUUGGAGUAAUCCACAGAUGUUUAUGACAGAUGUCAAGCACAAGGAUUGCUGUAACUAGCAGUUUUUGUGUAACAAAUGGUGAGGUAAACUGAUACUAAGCAGGAUACCUGCAAGAUAUUUAUAUAUUGUAGAAUUUUGAAGCCAUUGAGUUGUGGUAUCAGAAAAUUUUGUAAAAUAUUUAUGUCUCAAUAGGACAUGUAUUGUACAUAUCUGAACAUGAGAAUAAGGCCUCUAUGAAGCUAUUUUGGCAAAGAAAUAAAAUACAUUUUUAUAUUGUUUGAAUUUUCCAUUAAUUGAAGGUCAGUCACUGUGAAGAAAACAGGUCCUUAAAUCACAUGUGAUUGGCAAGCAAUUAACUUCUGGUAAAUGAAUUGCAUGGGCAAUGGAGUAUAGUCUGUCUUGACAGGUAAAAGCAUUUUUUCAUUAGAGUAACAUUAAUAAAUGAUUGGAACUUGCCUAAGAUUCAGCUUGUACUUAAUAUUAGAUAUACUUAGAAAUUCUGUCCGGCAACCAGGUCCAAUAUUUUAACAUUUAAAAUUUCUGAAUCAGAGCAAACAAGACAUCUCGAAAUUUCCAGUAGAAUGAAAGUACUAGUUUUUGUUUAGAAUCACUGAAGAAUUACUUUUUUCCCAGAAUUUAGUAAGGUAAAAGUGGACUGAUAAUUUAGUAAAUGGACUGAUAACUUGAUAUCACAAAACCUAUAAAAUACAAAAUACAUCAACUAAAUUUUACUUAUAGUAUUACAUAGUUGAAAGAAAAUAACAACAGAUAGGGGUUAUUUUCUCCUUUUUCAAAUUGACACUUUAAAUUGUUUGUUUCCAAGUGUUUAUUUCUGCAUCUCAGGAUGAUGUGUACAUUAAGUAAACUUGGGAAUUAAUAUAUUUGCAGAAAUGCAUCUCUUUUGCUUUGAGGAAAAUAUUUACUUUAGGAGAUAUAGAGUACCUUAAAGUGAUAAAAUACUAAUAUGAACAAGGUAUUUUGUGGUUAUUACAUGCUAUCUUGAUGAAGAUAAACAGGUAGGAGCAUAAGAUUAUUUUAACCAUCUAAUACAUAUAAUGAGAUAUUGUUCUAACUAAAUGAAACAAGCUUCUUUUCCUUUCUGCCUCUACCCUAAGUUUUCCUUAGUGAAGACAAAGUCCAACAUGGAAUUGUUUGGAUUCAGUUGCUAUCACUUAUGCUAGGGAUCUGGCUCUUAGUAAGAUAUCCCAGGAGAAGCUCAGCUGCCCAAGAACAUAAAAUGCUGAAGUGUCACUGCAAAUUCUUGAAUUAUAUUAGUUCCGUCUUAAUAUAGAAUAUUUUAACCCAGUUCAAAAUCAAUGACAUUUCUUCUGCAACUGUGCCUGUCCUCUUAACAACUGCCUGAAGGCAGAUACCUUGUGGAUUGGAAACCUGGAGAUUUUCUGUCCAGGGGCAGUUUUGUUCUUACAACUCUGGCUUUAUGAAUGAAUGGAGGCCAUUAAUGAUACUGUUCCGUGGAAGUGUCCUCUAUCUUAAUCAGCAGAAUAUAAUUGUUUUGUAAAAAAACAAUAAGUAAAUUUUCACAUCCUGGUCAAAUUCCGGUUUAGAUAACAGCACCCUGCUGACAAAGUUCCUGCAAUUUCAGAUGGAUAGUAACUGCCUAUUAACGUACUCUGUAUUAUUGCAUGGCAUACUUAAGCAGCUGUUGCAUUUUGUUUGAUGUAGAUGUAUCAACUGAAUCCUCCAUGGUUUUGUUGUUUUGGUUUUUUUAACAACACAUUUUGGGAAUGAUAGAAGUUGCAGAAGCAUCAAUGAUUAUUCAUUUCUUUCCUGUUAGGUCUAAUUCCUGCAGUGAUAUUCAUGAAAUCAGUUUUUAAAAAAAAAACCACAGAAAUGCAAUUUUACUACUAAUCUUGUUCUUAAGCCAUUUAAAUAUGCAGAUCUCUAAGAUAUUUGAUAUUAAACUUACCAUAGGAUAGGAUCAAUGCAGUUUUUAAAAAUAAAGUGGUAUUCAACAGAUAAAAACAUGACAGUUACAAUCAAAGUCAGCUUAUUACUUUUUAUCAUAUGCCAAGGUGGCAUAUUAAGGAUUGUUUGUUCUCCAUUUCUGCAGUUUAAACAGAUUAGGGUGGAUUUUUGGUAUCUAUUGAAUUUGACAUAUCAGAUUGAUAAAAACAGCAGAGCAGAGAACAUCCAAUACAGGAAUCAGAUUCACCACAAAUCAAAUCUGUAGUGUGAGUUUAUUCCAAAUUCAGAAGGUCCUUGUAGCAGUGAGGAUUCUCUCAGCUAUAUAAGCAUGACGUCAUUCUCUAUGCCUGCAGAGAAGAUACAAUUAAGUACAAUCCUUCAGUUCUUGGAUAAUAGCAUUUAUUGUCAUUAUCUCUCUGCACCUCCUUUCCUAAAAUCCAAGGAUCUUUAUAGUUCAUAUAUUCUGGAGAUGUUUAGCACAACAGGUAUAAUGAGAAAAUUUUAUUUCUGUUCUGCAAUAUAUCUGGAGUACCUCAUUAAAGUGCAGGUACUUUAAAUGAAGCCUAGUAAUAUGCUGCUUUAGCAUGCGUUUAAACAAGAAUUUGAAAAUUUGCAACUAUUAACCUUCAGUGGUAAUGUUAUAAACUCCUUGGAUAAUUUACUGAUGGCUAGGUGAACCAAAGUACUGAUUUGUUAAACGACUUCUUUAGUAUUCAUUAGUGGUAAUGCUGGAAUAGGUGUGACCUGUUUACUUAAAAAUGCAAUUCUAUUGAUAUCAGCAGAAUUUUUGCUAUUGUCUAGUGAGGCAAAAUCUGCCUAAAUGAUCUAGAUUUCUGCUGCUUCUAAAUACUGUUUUUACCUGUUUAAAUUAAUGCUGAAAUAGAACCCUGUUUAGAGGGAACUGAGGCAUUAUUUUAAUAUAGAUAUAAUAAAUCUGCACUGUUUGGAAUUAAAAAAUGAAUGUGUGAAAUAACUAACAUUACUGCAGUGAUACCUCCCUGUUUCUUCAGUUAACUGUGCAAUCGAUCCCUAUAUGGAACAGAAGAUCAAUAUCCUGCAAGUAUAGAAGCCAGAUAUGGAGUUUCUUCAUGGAGAUAAAACACCAGCAUUCACUAUGCAUUUGACUUAAAUCUGGAGAUGGGUGGAGAAGAGACAGGAAGAUCACAGUGGCACAUCUCCAGCAAAAGUCCUCCAGAGGCAUUGUGCCCUGACGGGAGGCAGCUGCCUGCAGAUGGCAGGGAGGUACCUCAAAACAAUGGGGCACACGAAUCCAUCUCCUGAGAACUGGAUGUUCAACAUGAAGUAGUGGAGACCCUGCCUAUUACCUUGCUGGGAUAGCCAUAAGACAGAGCCGACGAGGACGUGUAUGGCAAUGUAAUGAAGUCCUGCUCUCAGACACCAGUAAUGGGUAAACUUCAUAUGUAAUUUUCCAACUAUAUUUUAAAGCCCAUUUGGUGACAGUGAAAUUUCUCAAAUCAAUGACCUUCUAUAAAAACUACAAAAAAGUUCUCCCAGUAAAA